rnacentral:tRNA from 1 species
CCGGUGCGCAGGCGAGGGUUACUUCCACUUCUAAUGGGCAGGUCGGGGGUUCGAAUCCCUCCCGGACCA